GCACUUGUACUGUGAAACUGCGAAUGGCUCAUUAAAUCAGUUAUCGUUUAUUUGAUAGUACCUUACUACAUGGAUACCUGUGGUAAUUCUAGAGCUAAUACAUGCUAAAAACCCCGACUUCAGGAAGGGGUGUAUUUAUUAGAUAAAAAACCAACGCCCUUCGGGGCUCCUUGGUGAAUCAUAAUAACUUAACGAAUCGCAUGGCCUUGCGCCGGCGAUGGUUCAUUCAAAUUUCUGCCCUAUCAACUUUCGAUGGUAGGAUAGUGGCCUACCAUGGUGGCAACGGGUAACGGGGAAUUAGGGUUCGAUUCCGGAGAGGGAGCCUGAGAAACGGCUACCACAUCCAAGGAAGGCAGCAGGCGCGCAAAUUACCCAAUCCCGAUACGGGGAGGUAGUGACAAUAAAUACUGAUACGGGGCUCUUUUGGGUCUCGUAAUUGGAAUGAGAACAAUUUAAAUCCCUUAACGAGGAACAAUUGGAGGGCAAGUCUGGUGCCAGCAGCCGCGGUAAUUCCAGCUCCAAUAGCGUAUAUUAAAGUUGUUGCAGUUAAAAAGCUCGUAGUUGAACCUUGGGUCUGGCUGGUCGGUCCGCCUCACCGCGAGUACUGAUCCGGCUGGACCUUUCCUUCUGGGGAACCUCAUGGCCUUCACUGGCUGUGGGGGGAACCAGGACUUUUACUGUGAAAAAAUUAGAGUGUUCAAAGCAGGCCUUUGCUCGAAUACAUUAGCAUGGAAUAAUAGAAUAGGACGUGUGGUUCUAUUUUGUUGGUUUCUAGGACCGCCGUAAUGAUUAAUAGGGAUAGUCGGGGGCGUCAGUAUUCAGCUGUCAGAGGUGAAAUUCUUGGAUUUGCUGAAGACUAACUACUGCGAAAGCAUUCGCCAAGGAUGUUUUCAUUAAUCAGGGAACGAAAGUUAGGGGAUCGAAGACGAUCAGAUACCGUCGUAGUCUUAACCAUAAACUAUGCCGACUAGGGAUCGGACAGGAUUCUAUAAUGACCUGUUCGGCACCUUACGAGAAAUCAAAGUUUUUUGG
rnacentral:rRNA from 1 species